AACGCUGGCGGCGUGCCUAAUACAUGCAAGUCGAACGAGUUCUCGUUGAUGAUCGGUGCUUGCACCGAGAUUCAACAUGGAACGAGUGGCGGACGGGUGAGUAACACGUGGGUAACCUGCCCUUAAGUGGGGGAUAACAUUUGGAAACAGAUGCUAAUACCGCAUAGAUCCAAGAACCGCAUGGUUCUUGGCUGAAAGAUGGCGUAAGCUAUCGCUUUUGGAUGGACCCGCGGCGUAUUAGCUAGUUGGUGAGGUAAUGGCUCACCAAGGCGAUGAUACGUAGCCGAACUGAGAGGUUGAUCGGCCACAUUGGGACUGAGACACGGCCCAAACUCCUACGGGAGGCAGCAGUAGGGAAUCUUCCACAAUGGACGCAAGUCUGAUGGAGCAACGCCGCGUGAGUGAAGAAGGCUUUCGGGUCGUAAAACUCUGUUGUUGGAGAAGAAUGGUCGGCAGAGUAACUGUUGUCGGCGUGACGGUAUCCAACCAGAAAGCCACGGCUAACUACGUGCCAGCAGCCGCGGUAAUACGUAGGUGGCAAGCGUUAUCCGGAUUUAUUGGGCGUAAAGCGAGCGCAGGCGGUUUUUUAAGUCUGAUGUGAAAGCCCUCGGCUUAACCGAGGAAGCGCAUCGGAAACUGGGAAACUUGAGUGCAGAAGAGGACAGUGGAACUCCAUGUGUAGCGGUGAAAUGCGUAGAUAUAUGGAAGAACACCAGUGGCGAAGGCGGCUGUCUGGUCUGUAACUGACGCUGAGGCUCGAAAGCAUGGGUAGCGAACAGGAUUAGAUACCCUGGUAGUCCAUGCCGUAAACGAUGAAUGCUAGGUGUUGGAGGGUUUCCGCCCUUCAGUGCCGCAGCUAACGCAUUAAGCAUUCCGCCUGGGGAGUACGACCGCAAGGUUGAAACUCAAAGGAAUUGACGGGGGCCCGCACAAGCGGUGGAGCAUGUGGUUUAAUUCGAAGCAACGCGAAGAACCUUACCAGGUCUUGACAUCUUUUGAUCACCUGAGAGAUCAGGUUUCCCCUUCGGGGGCAAAAUGACAGGUGGUGCAUGGUUGUCGUCAGCUCGUGUCGUGAGAUGUUGGGUUAAGUCCCGCAACGAGCGCAACCCUUAUGACUAGUUGCCAGCAUUUAGUUGGGCACUCUAGUAAGACUGCCGGUGACAAACCGGAGGAAGGUGGGGAUGACGUCAAAUCAUCAUGCCCCUUAUGACCUGGGCUACACACGUGCUACAAUGGAUGGUACAACGAGUUGCGAGACCGCGAGGUCAAGCUAAUCUCUUAAAGCCAUUCUCAGUUCGGACUGUAGGCUGCAACUCGCCUACACGAAGUCGGAAUCGCUAGUAAUCGCGGAUCAGCACGCCGCGGUGAAUACGUUCCCGGGCCUUGUACACACCGCCCGUCACACCAUGAGAGUUUGUAACACCCGAAGCCGGUGGCGUAACCCUUUUAGGGAGCGAGCCGUCUAAGGUGGGACAAAUGAUUA
rnacentral:rRNA from 2 species